rnacentral:rRNA from 1 species
AUUGAACGCUGGCGGCAUGCCUUACACAUGCAAGUCGAACGGCAGCACGGGAGCAAUCCUGGUGGCGAGUGGCGAACGGGCGAGUAAAGUAUCGGAACGUGCCCAGUCGUGGGGGAUAACGUAGCGAAAGUUACGCUAAUACCGCAUACGAUCUAUGGAUGAAAGCGGGGGAUCGCAAGACCUCGCGCGAUUGGAGCGGCCGAUAUCAGAUUAGGUAGUUGGUGGGGUAAAGGCUCACCAAGCCGACGAUCUGUAGCUGGUCUGAGAGGACGACCAGCCACACUGGGACUGAGACACGGCCCAGACUCCUACGGGAGGCAGCAGUGGGGAAUUUUGGACAAUGGGCGAAAGCCUGAUCCAGCCAUGCCGCGUGCAGGAUGAAGGCCUUCGGGUUGUAAACUGCUUUUGUACGGAACGAAAAGGUUUGGCCUAAUAAGCUGAGCUCAUGACGGUACCGUAAGAAUAAGCACCGGCUAACUACGUGCCAGCCGCCGCCGCUG